rnacentral:rRNA from 1 species
CAGUAGCCGCGGUAAUACGUAGGUGGCAAGCGUUGUCCGGAAUUAUUGGGCGUAAAGGGCGCGUAGGCGGUUUGAUAAGUCUUGUGUGAAAUCUAUGGGCUCAACCCAUAGUCUGCACAGGAAACUGUCGGGCUUGAGAGUGGGAGAGGUGAGUGGAAUUUCCGGUGUAGCGGUGAAAUGCGUAGAUAUCGGAAGGAACACCUGUGGCGAAAGCGGCUCACUGGACCAUUUCUGACGCUGAUGCACGAAAGCCAGGGGGGCAAACAGGAUUAGAUACCCCGGUAGUCCCUGUCUCUUAUAC